AUUGAACGCUGGCGGCAGGCCUAACACAUGCAAGUCGAGCGGACUGAGGUAGCUUGCUACCAAGGUUAGCGGCGGACGGGUGAGUAACGCGUAGGAAUCUACCUGGUAAUGGGGGAUAACGUUCCGAAAGGAACGCUAAUACCGCAUACGCCCUAAGGGGGAAAGUGGGGGACCUUCGGGCCUCACGUUAUCAGAUGAGCCUGCGUAGGAUUAGCUAGUUGGUAGGGUAAAGGCCUACCAAGGCGACGAUCCUUAACUGGUCUGAGAGGAUGAUCAGUCACACUGGAACUGAGACACGGUCCAGACUCCUACGGGAGGCAGCAGUGGGGAAUAUUGGACAAUGGGGGCAACCCUGAUCCAGCCAUGCCGCGUGUGUGAAGAAGGCCUUCGGGUUGUAAAGCACUUUCGGUCAGAAAGAAGGGUGUCAAAUUAAUACUUUGGCAUUUUGACGGUACUGACAUAAGAAGCACCGGCUAACUCCGUGCCAGCCGCCGCGGUAA
rnacentral:rRNA from 1 species